rnacentral:rRNA from 1 species
GGAAUUCGAUUCGGUGUGACAAGGCCCGGGAACGUAUUCACCGCAGCAAUGCUGAUCUGCGAUUACUAGCGAUUCCGACUUCACGGAGUCGAGUUGCAGACUCCGAUCCGGACUACGAACGGCUUUUUGGGAUUGGCUCCCCCUCGCGGGUUGGCAACCCUUUGUACCGCCCAUUGUAGCACGUGUGUAGCCCUGGCCAUAAAGGCCAUGAUGACUUGACGUCAUCCCCACCUUCCUCCGGUUUGUCACCGGCGGUCUCCUUAGAGUGCCCAACUGAAUGCUGGCAACUAAGGACAAGGGUUGCGCUCGUUGCGGGACUUAACCCAACAUCUCACGACACGAGCUGACGACAGCCAUGCAGCACCUGUCUCCAGGUUCCUUACGGCACCCCUGAAUCUCUUCAGGGUUCCUGGGAUGUCAAGGCCAGGUAAGGUUCUUCGCGUUAAUCACUA